CUCGUCUCCUCGCCAUCGCCGUCACCUCCUCCCCGUCCCCGAUCUCCUUCCGCGAUGCACCCUGAUUGAAUCGAUCCAUCUCCCCUCUCCUCCCGAUCCCGAUCUAGUCCUCUCCGCUCCGCUCCAACCCACCCACCGAACUGAUCCCGCUCCCACCCACCGAACCUAUCCUGAUUCUCCUCCGCUCAAGACCUUCUUCCCCAUUCUCCCCCCAAUCCCAAUGCCACCGACAACAUCCAUCCAUCCGCAGCUCUCCCUCCUGCCAUGGGGAUGGAUGAGGAGAUCCUCACCCCUCAACCACCCAUGGAUGGAUGUGGACGGGGCUAGGAUGGCGUCGGUGCCGGAUCUGCACCCACCUGCGUCGCCCGCCCUCGCCGGGACGCCACCACCACAUGCCUGCGCCAUGGAAGACGAGGAGGAGUGCCUCACUCUGUCGUACGGGAUGCCGCCAUGGAAGGAGAUGGAGCUCCUCCCAUCUCCUCAACCACGCACACAGCAGGAGAUUAGCAAGGGUGGGUACGAAUCCCUUCUCCCCUAUCCUGGUCCUCUUCUUCUCCUCUAAUAUCUGAAUCUCGUUUUCUUCUUGCGUCAUGGAAUCCAAGAGGGAGAGGAGGAGCUGGUCCGACCCACCCUACUGAUGACUGACACCAUGGAGGCUAUCACCAUGGUAAGCCGAGGUGCUGCGGGUGUCGAGGAAGAUGAUGGUUCGGGUGAGACAGUGAAGAGAGGAUAGCGUGCAGAGGGGGAGGACGUCAGUUCCAGCUGCUUAGAUUACUCAAGGCAGGAUUUGAUUCUGUACAAGGGGUUCAUCAUGCCAGGCUCCUCUUUUCUGAUGCUUCCAUGCAACGGUGGUGGCAAUGGUGCUGUUUGGCAUCGGCUACAAAAACACCCUGCCAUGUCAUGUCAAUCAAGUUAAUUAGAUGUUGCUCUUUUUAUGUUCUGCUUCAUACAUACAUGCAUAUGUGAUGGCUCCCUGCCUGCUACAUCUCCGCUUGCAUAAAUCAAAGAGAAGAAAGAAACACUCAGCUUAAAAAUAAUUGUAAUGAGCAGCACAUGCCUUUCAUUUUACAGGAUGGUCAUUGUAUCAUGAUAACUGGAUCAUGUCUAUGCCACAUACAAAUCAUCGAGCAGUGUUCCUGAUGCUGAUGGCCUAUUACCUUGAAUAAUAAUGUUGACAGGAGCAUUUUGGUUGCACGUUUGCGACUUCUUGCUUGAAUCCCAAAGUUUCAGAUCAACAUGGGGUUCAAUGUUUGCUUUCCAUUCUUAUUGUCCGUCUUAGAUCAUUCCCAGUUCACUGAAUCAAGUUGCCUGACCUACCUAUCAGGCUGGCUCACAUAGCUAUAUCUGUCGUGUCCUUUCCAGUUGGACACGCGCAAGCUGUGUUUCUUACAUAAGCUCAUUUGAAAAUCACAUACUAGUAGCAGCAAAGUUUAGUGCAAUAGUUUUCUGUCAACGUUCAGUGCCAGCAGCAAAAUUCAGUUAUGCACAAGCACCAUUUAGCAGCAGCAUAGGUAUAUAGCAUUCAUUUAGCGGCAGAAAAAUCCAGUUCAUUUUACUCGCUGCUCUCUUUGGCAUUUACAGUCAUGGACUCUCUGGCUGCUCCUCCUCUGGCCAAUGGUGAAGCGUCCAACGAGGCCAGCAGCAAGGCAAUGCGGCGGGAUCGUGCUCCCGUGAUCGUAUGAGGCGCCUGCUCUGCUACUCAAGGAACGAUUACCUAUUGAUUCCAUGGUCUCGAUGUUUUUCUCCUACAUGGUUCGGAAGGGCUUCCGUGGAAGGCCCAGUCCUGACUAUUGAAGGAGCUACAUGUAGAAGAAGAAAACACUUAUAGACCAGUGAUUCCCAUACUUGUAGAGCUUGUAUCAACUAAGCUUGUAUUACGUGUAACUUGUAGAACUUUUAAAGUAUUGUAUAUGUAACAGCUUGUAGUACGUGUCAUUUGUAGAACUUGUACUGAAUCUGGCUAUUGUUAUUGGAAGUAUCAUGUGUGUUUUAUGCUUGCCAAUU